AUUGAACGCUGGCGGGAGGCCUAACAGAUGCAAGUCGAACGAGUGGCGGACGGGUGAGUAAUGUCUGGGAAACUGCCCGAUGGAGGGGGAUAACUACUGGAAACAGUAGCUAAUACCGCAUGCUGCCGGUUGUGCCCAGAUGGGAUUAGCGAGUAGGUGGGGUAACGGCUCACCUAGGCGACUAUCCCUAGCUGGUCUGAGAGGAUGACCAGCCACACUGGAACUGAGACACGGUCCAGACUCCUACGGGAGGCAGCAGUGGGGAAUAUUGCACAAUGGGCGCAAGCCUGAUGCAGCCAUGCCGCGUGUAUGAAGAAGGCCUUCGGUGUGUAAAGUACUUGCAGCGAGGAGGCGUUACUCGCAGAAGAAGCACCGGCUAACUCCGUGCCGGCCGCCGCGGUAAUUC
rnacentral:rRNA from 1 species